rnacentral:misc_RNA from 1 species
AACGCACAUUGCGCCCCUUGGUAUUCCAUGGGGCAUGCCUGUUCGAGCGUCAUUUGUACCUUCAAGCUUUGCUUGGUGUUGGGCGUCUUGUCUCUAGCUUUGCUGGAGACUCGCCUUAAAGUAAUUGGCAGCCGGCCUACUGGUUUCGGAGCGCAGCACAAGUCGCACUCUCUAUCAGCAAAGGUCUAGCAUCCAUUAAGCCUUUUUUCAACUUUUGACCUCGGAUCAGGUAGGGAUACCCGCUGAACUUAA